rnacentral:rRNA from 1 species
AACGAACGCUGGCGGCAUGCCUAACACAUGCAAGUCGAACGAGACCUUCGGGUCUAGUGGCGCACGGGUGCGUAACGCGUGGGAAUCUGCCCUUGGGUUCGGAAUAACAGCUAGAAAUGGCUGCUAAUACCGGAUGAUGUCUUCGGACCAAAGAUUUAUCGCCCAGGGAUGAGCCCGCGUAGGAUUAGCUAGUUGGUGAGGUAAAGGCUCACCAAGGCGACGAUCCUUAGCUGGUCUGAGAGGAUGAUCAGCCACACUGGGACUGAGACACGGCCCAGACUCCUACGGGAGGCAGCAGUGGGGAAUAUUGGACAAUGGGCGAAAGCCUGAUCCAGCAAUGCCGCGUAAGUGAUGAAGGCCCUAGGGUUGUAAAGCUCUUUUGCCAGGGAUGAUAAUGACAGUACCUGGAGAAUAAGCUCCGGCUAACUCCGUGCCAGCAGCCGCCGUAACAC